AGAAGAGGCUGCCCCUUGGUAGAUGGGAGAAGCCAUCUUUUUAGACACAGUUGUAUUGCUUUGUCUGUCUGACUGGAGUUUCGGUUGGUUUGGUGAAGGUUACUGCAAUGGCUGUUAUUCCUGGACCUCUCUCUGGAAGUGACAGUGAGAGCUCUAAAAAAGCCACUGUGAUUAAAAUUCAAAAGUCAUACAGACGUUAGGAAUGUUUGGAGAGGAAGAAAGAGACAGAAGAAAAGAGAAAAGGACAGCCCAUAGAGCUUCUCCAAGGGCCCAUCUCCGCUUCAGUUGGCGAAACAUCCCAUCUUCACAGUGUUCCAGCUCCUUGGGGUCAGCAGUCUUCCCCUCCCCACCAGUCAAUCUGAGCAGACAUUGAUCCAUUGGAUGUUGCAAGGAACUCCCCACUUGAAUAAGCAGUACCUGCAGCUCAGGUCAAGAGCCACACUUUCAACUCUCACCAAUCCUGUGGAAAUAUCCCAAGGGUUCCACCUCAGCUGGCUUCCAACACACAUACUACGGAUCCUUGACAUGGGUGAGAGUCUGCCCUGCUCUUCCCUGGCAGUUUAACACACUAUUACAGGUCAUCGAUUGCCGUGCCCUUACAAGUCAUUAAAAUAUCAUAUC